UAGGGAAUCUUCCGCAAUGGGCGAAAGCCUGACGGAGCAACGCCGCGUGAGUGAUGAAGGUCUUCGGAUCGCAAAACUCUGUUAUUAGGGAAGAACAUAUGUGUAAGUAACUGUGCACAUCUUGACGGUACCUAAUCAGAAAGCCACGGCUAACUACGUGCCAGCAGCCGCGGUAAUACGUAGGUGGCAAGCGUUAUCCGGAAUUAUUGGGCGUAAAGCGCGCGUAGGCGGUUUUUUAAGUCUGAUGUGAAAGCCCACGGCUCAACCGUGGAGGGUCAUUGGAAACUGGAAAACUUGAGUGCAGAAGAGGAAAGUGGAAUUCCAUGUGUAGCGGUGAAAUGCGCAGAGAUAUGGAGGAACACCAGUGGCGAAGGCGACUUUCUGGUCUGUAACUGACGCUGAUGUGCGAAAGCGUGGGGAUCAAACAGGAUUAGAUACCCUGGUAGUCCACGCCGUAAACGAUGAGUGCUAAGUGUUAGGGGGUUUCCGCCCCUUAGUGCUGCAGCUAACGCAUUAAGCACUCCGCCUGGGGAGUACGACCGCAAGGUUG
rnacentral:rRNA from 1 species